GCCGGACCUCCUCCUCUCCUGCCACUGCCUCGCAGCCUCCGCCACCGCCUCGUCGCCGGCCGCCGGACCUCCUCAUCUCCUGUCACCAACUCGUAGCCACUGCCGCCUCGUCGCUGGCCGUCAGACCUCCUCCUCUCCAGCCUCGUCCCCGGCGACCUCCUCCCCAUCCGUCGGCUGGAUUGCCUAGAGGAGAAAAGUGUGUGUGAGAGAGAGGGGGAAGGCAGAGGGUCAUGUCGUGGCAUCAGGGCAUGUGGGGCCCACGCGGGUCCCACGCUGCUUCGGCUGCCACCUCAGACAAAACCAGGGUCAAAACCACCGAAGGACCUGAAGUGAACAGUUUUAUAAGUUUAGGGAUAUCUUAUAUCUGGUUUUAUGGUUUAAGGACGAUUUUAUAACUCGAUGACAAGAUGAGUGACCUUAGGUAUACUUUUUCAUAAGAGUAAUUAUUUGGCCCAUGGGCCCAUGACCUAGGCUUGCUUUGUGUCUGGGCUUUGGUGUUGUCAAUGGUCCAUCGGUGUUCAGGGUUAAGCAAAGA
rnacentral:lncRNA from 1 species